AUUGAACGCUGGCGGCAUGCCUUACACAUGCAAGUCGAACGGUAACAGGUCUUCGGAUGCUGACGAGUGGCGAACGGGUGAGUAAUACAUCGGAACGUGCCUAGUAGUGGGGGAUAACUACUCGAAAGAGUGGCUAAUACCGCAUGAGAUCUACGGAUGAAAGCAGGGGAUCGCAAGACCUUGCGCUACUAGAGCGGCCCAUGGCAGAUUAGGUAGUUGGUGGGAUAAAAGCUUACCAAGCCGACGAUCUGUAGCUGGUCUGAGAGGACGAUCAGCCACACUGGGACUGAGACACGGCCCAGACUCCUACGGGAGGCAGCAGUGGGGAAUUUUGGACAAUGGGCGAAAGCCUGAUCCAGCAAUGCCGCGUGCAGGAUGAAGGCCUUCGGGUUGUAAACUGCUUUUGUACGGAACGAAAAGCCCUGGGUUAAUACCCUGGGGUCAUGACGGUACCGUAAGAAUAAGCACCGGCUAACUACGUGCCAGCCGCCGCCGUAA
rnacentral:rRNA from 1 species